CAACGUCCUCAUGAUUAUAUAAAAAGGCUACUGGAACGGAGCGGAUAUUCUCAGGAGCACGUUUCUCUUGCAAUACGCGGCGGACCGCACGGCGUGAAUGAAAAACGGACCACCUGUGAAGAUAGAAGAUUUGAAAAUCGUAGAAGAUUCGUCGUCGCUCUACGAGAUACCGGAAAACAGACACUUCUCAAGUGAAACCGGUUUACAUCCCUGAAAUAAGCGAAGCUAUUCACCUAUACAGGAGAGAGAUCUUCCACGAAUUUUCUUCGUGACUCGACGCGCGAUUUAUUUCCACGUGUCGACGGGGUCACCGGAUUGCGGUUCCUGAUGUCACGGGCAUGCCAGGAAAUGCGCGAAGCUUAAAAUAUUGCAUGAGGGUCGGGG